UUGAUGGAAAUUGUUGAUGGAAGAUGUUGAUAGAAGCUGUUGAUGGAAUCAGUUGAAAUAAGCUGUUGAAAUAAGCUGAAGCUUCUAUCAACAUCUUCCAUCAACAAUUUCCAUC
rnacentral:pre_miRNA from 1 species